AGGAGUUGCAAGAAGUUUCGGAAAGGCCCAUCAUAGCUUCGCUGUUUUCCAUAACAACCGGGGACGCUUUCUCCUGAUUGGCUGCUGCUACAUCCUGUGUUUUCAGGCCUCGCUAGCAGAUGCUAUUUUAAACCACACUCCCUUCACGAGCUGGGGAUUAACAAGUACAUCUUAGAAAAGGCGUAAAUCAGUACUAUCAUACUUGUCUAUCGGCGGCCGUUCGAGUGAAGGAAUCUGAUAAACAUGAGUUAGUAACUUAGACACGGAAAAGAAAGCUGAGCUGCACCGACUGUUGACAACGGUUCUUCUGCGGAAUUACUGACACCAACGUUAACUUAAUGUGAAGCUUCCAGCUCCUCAUUAAUGAAUAAAGACAAGUCAGCGGUGAAAACAGCUCUUCUGUUGUGUCGCCAGAAUGCACAAGGGGUGGUUUGCUGGACGCCAUGUCUGCCGUUGACUUUGCUGUAUCGUCUGGGAUGGAUCACAACAACCCAGAGAUGAUGAAAGAUACAUCACCUGGCCUGACAGCAGAUUUGGAUAAUUCUGAGUCCUUCUGUCCAGAAAAGGAGCAGGUUAGUUGUUUUUUUCUGUCCAAAAUUUAUAUUGUUUGAUUUGACCGGUGGCUCCUCUGGUCUGCAUGUCAAAGUGCCCUUGGGCAAGAUACUGAGCCCAAAUUGCUCCUGGUGUGCGCGUGAGUAUAUGUGAAUGAUUAGUUUCUUUCUAAGGGCAAAUGGUACUUUGCAUGGCAGCUUCACUGUAUGAGUAUGUGAGAAUGUGACAUGUUGGGUCCUAUCUUGCACCCGGAGCAAAGCAGCGCAAGUGACAUUGUGAGUUUCCAACCGAUGCAGUUGUCAUUUUCUCGCCCAUGUUGUUUAAAUACUUGCGUCCAUCUGUGCGCCCAUGGGAGUGUUGGUCUUAAAAAGUGUGGUCAGGUAAAUUUUUGUCACAUUGCUAUCUUGA